AUGAACGCUGGCGGCGUGCCUAACACAUGCAAGUCGAACGGAGUCGUUUUGGAAAUCUCUUCGGAGAUGGAAUUCUCGACUUAGUGGCGGACGGGUGAGUAACGCGUGAGCAAUCUGCCUUUAAGAGGGGGAUAACAGUCGGAAACGGCUGCUAAUACCGCAUAAAGCAUUAAAUUCGCAUGUUUUUGAUGCCAAAGGAGCAAUCCGCUUUUAGAUGAGCUCGCGUCUGAUUAGCUAGUUGGCGGGGUAACGGCCCACCAAGGCGACGAUCAGUAGCCGGACUGAGAGGUUGAACGGCCACAUUGGGACUGAGACACGGCCCAGACUCCUACGGGAGGCAGCAGUGGGGAAUAUUGCGCAAUGGGGGAAACCCUGACGCAGCAACGCCGCGUGAUUGAAGAAGGCCUUCGGGGUGUAAAGAUCUUUAAUCAGGGACGAAACAAAUGACGGUACCUGAAGAAUAAGCUCCGGCUAACUACGUG
rnacentral:rRNA from 1 species